GACGGAGGAUGCAAGUGUUAUCCGGAAUCACUGGGCGUAAAGCGUGCGCAGGCGGUUGUGCAAGACAGAUGUGAAAUCCCCGGGCUUAACCUGGGAACUGCAUUUGUGACUGCAUGGCUAGAGUGUGUCAGAGGGGGGUAGAAUUCCACGUGUAGCAGUGAAAUGCGUAGAUAUGUGGAGGAAUACCGAUGGCGAAGGCAGCCCCCUGGGAUAGCACUGACGCUCAUGCACGAAAGCGUGGGGAGCAAACAGG
rnacentral:rRNA from 1 species